rnacentral:rRNA from 1 species
AUUGAACGCUGGCGGCAGGCCUAACACAUGCAAGUCGAGCGGAUGACGGGAGCUUGCUCCUUGAUUCAGCGGCGGACGGGUGAGUAAUGCCUAGGAAUCUGCCUGGUAGUGGGGGACAACGUUUCGAAAGGAACGCUAAUACCGCAUACGUCCUACGGGUGAAAGCAGGGGACCUUCGGGCCUUGCGCUAUCAGAUGAGCCUAGGUCGUAUUGGCUUGUUGGUGAGGUAAUGGCUCACCAAGGCGACGAUCCGUAACUGGUCUGCGAGGAUGAUCAGUCACCCUGGAACUGGGACACGUUCCAGACUCCUACGGGAGGCAGCAGUGGGGAAUAUUGGACAAUGGGCGAAAGCCUAAUCCAGCCAUGCCGCUUGUGUGAAGAAGGUCUUCGGAUUUUAAAGCACUUUAAGUUGGGAGGAAGAGUUGUAGAUUAAUACUCUGCAAUUUUAACGUUACCGACAGAAUAGGCACCGGCUAACUCGGUG